AGAGUUUGAUCCUGGCUCAGAACGAACGCUGGCGGCGUGCCUAACACAUGCAAGUCGAACGGAGUUGAGGGGCUUGCUUCUCAACUUAGUGGCGCACGGGUGAGUAACGCGUAGAUAAUCUGCCUGAUGAUUUGGGAUAACACUUCGAAAGGGGUGCUAAUACCGAAUAAGCCCACGGAGUCCUUGGACUCUGCGGGAAAAGGGGGGGACCUUUAUCGGCCUUCCGUCAUCAGAUGAGUCUGCGUACCAUUAGCUAGUUGGUAGGGUAAAGGCCUACCAAGGCGACGAUGGUUAGCUGGUCUGAGAGGAUGAUCAGCCACACUGGAACUGAGACACGGUCCAGACUCCUACGGGAGGCAGCAGUGGGGAAUUUUGCGCAAUGGGGGAAACCCUGACGCAGCAACGCCGCGUGCGGGAUGAAGGCCUUCGGGUUGUAAACCGCUUUCAGCAGGGACGAAAUUGACUGUACCUGCAGAAGAAGCCCCGGCUAACUACGUGCCAGCAGCCGCGGUAAUACGUAGGGGGCAAGCGUUAUCCGGAUUCAUUGGGCGUAAAGAGCGCGUAGGCGGCUUGUUAAGCGAGAUGUGAAAACCGGGGGCUUAACCCGCGGCCUGCAUCUCGAACUGGCAGGCUUGAGUCUGGUAGAGGAAAGUGGAAUUCCCAGUGUAGCGGUGAAAUGCGCAGAUAUUGGGAGGAACACCAGUGGCGAAGGCGGCUUUCUGGGCCACGACUGACGCUGAGGCGCGAAAGCUAGGGGAGCAAACAGGAUUAGAUACCCUGGUAGUCCAAGGUUCG
rnacentral:rRNA from 1 species